rnacentral:rRNA from 1 species
CCUACGGGCGGCAGCAGUGGGGAAUAUUGCACAAUGGGGGAAACCCUGAUGCAGCGACGCCGCGUGAGUGAAGAAGGAUUUCGGUAUGUAAAGCUCUAUCAGCAGGGAAGAAAAUGACGGUACCUGAUUAAGAAGCCCCGGCUAACUACGUGCCAGCAGCCGCGGUAAUACUGAGGGGGCAAGCGCUAGCCGGAUUUACUGGGUGUAAAGGGAGCGUAGACGGCAGCACAAGUCUGGAGUGAAAGGGCGGGGCUUAACCCCGGAACUGCUUUGGAAACUGUGCAGCUAGAGUGAAGGAGAGGGAAGUGGAAGUCCUAGUGUAGCGGUGAAAUGCGUAGAUAUUAGGAGGAACACCAGUGGCGAAGGCGGCUUACUGGACUGUAACUGACGUUGAGGCUCGAAAGCGUGGGGAGCAAACAGGAUUAGAUACCCUAGUAGUC